GACAGAUUUAACUGCAGUAAAUAUGUUUUGAAUAACUAGAAAUUAUUUUGUGGGAGUUAUGCCUCUCAGCUCAAAGGAUAGAUGACUAAAUAAGUUGGAUUUUUGAUUUAGUGGGAGCAAUUUGGAAAUGCCCAAGCUGCCUUAUAUUUCUGUAAUCUUUUCUUUGAAGAUUUUCAUCUUGCAUACAGGCUCGCACAUGGCAACUCCUUGGUGCCUGGUAUGCUCUCUUUGCUUAUGAAAUAAAUAAAUUA
rnacentral:misc_RNA from 1 species